rnacentral:lncRNA from 1 species
GAGGAGAGUUCAGAGCUCAAGAGAAAGGUUGUUUUAAAAGUAAACCUGCGAUUGUUCCAAAGCUGUGGAAUAAGAUGGGUGAGAAGUACAGAGAAGAGGGGUGGACAGCAUCCACAUCACAGGAGAAUAUAUAGCAAAGGAUGUUCUUGAUUUUCUUUCACAGGGAGCUAGAUGAUUCACUGAAGAAAUACACUGCGCGCACUCAGCUUUUAUGAUUAUGCUCUAAAAUGUUUAAUUGCAGAAGCCUUUCAAGUAUUUUUUCCCUAAGCUACUUUAAAAAAAAUCUUUUCAUUUUGCGUUUCAGAGUUGAAACAUGCAUUUUUGCAGAUGAAUGAUUAACAGGACCUAUUUUAUCCUGCUGGAGUGCAGUGGCGGGAUCUCGGCUCACUGCAAGCUCCGCCUCCCGGGUUCACGCCAUUCUCCAGCCUCAGCCUCCCGAGUAGCUGGGACUACAGGCGCCCGCCACCACGCCUGGUUAAUUUUUUUUGUAUUUUUAGUAGAGAUGGGGUUUCACCGUGUUAGCCAGGAUGGUCUCAAUCUCCUGACCUGGUGAUCCUCCCGCCUCGGCCUCCCAAAGUGCUGUGAUUACAGGUGUGAGCCACCGCGCCGGGGCUGUUUUUAUCUUUUUAGUUACUCCUUUUUUUUCCUCCUAAAGGAUAUUCUAUAGCUAACACUCUGUAUCAAUAUACAGAGCUCAUUUUUUGGCUGCAUGUUUCAUUUCACUGUUUAUCUUAAUUCAUUAAUCAUUCCAAUAUUGAUUGACAUUGGAGUUAUUUUCAAUCUUUUACUCUUAGCAAUGCUACAAUGAAUAAUUUUUUCCAUUUUUGCCGGUGUAUCUUUGGGAUAGUCUCUAAGGAACAGGAUUUUUAGGGCAAAGGAUGAGCAUGAUAUUGCUGGCUAUUGUUCAUUUUACUCCCCCGGGCUUGGACUGCUUUUCUUCCCCAGUAGUGCCUAACAGUGCCUGGGUUGCAGCUUGCCAAUCAGGUGAGUGCAUUAUCACACAGUUAGAGAAACGACAUCCCAAGGCAGAUUUGAUUUGCAUUUUGUUUGUUAUAAGUGAGCUUGAGCAGCUUUUCAUGUGUCCAAAGGACAUUUGAAUUUUUUCUCCUCUCCACUGUUUGUUUGUGGUCUUGCC